CCAGCUCGAGGAUUUUAGAAGAUCAUCAAAAGGGCUGCUGCAUAGUCAGGGUUAUUAUGUGAGGACCUUUUUUGCUCAUCUGUGGUGGUGGAUAUAAAAA